AACACUCUUUAAGAAUUUUUCAUAAAUUUGUUGUAUUUUUAAAUAAUUUUCUAAAAAAUUGCUAUUUUUGGAAAGUUUUCAUUUUUUAAAGAAAUAUAGUAGAUUUGAGUUUGUGGUUUAAAAAUGAAGAUAACAAGAAUAUUUGUGGAUAAUAGAGUAUUCUUUUAGAAAUUUUCAUCACCAAGUUGUAUUUUUAAAUAGUUUUUUUAAAAACUGCUAUUU
rnacentral:lncRNA from 1 species